rnacentral:rRNA from 1 species
CGUAGGGUGCGAGCGUUAAUCGGAAUUACUGGGCGUAAAGUGUGCGCAGGUGGCCGCGCAUGUCGAGUGUGAAAUCCCCGGGCUUAACUUGGGAAUUGCGCUCGAAACUACGUGGCUUGAGUGUGGCAGAGGAAGGUGGAAUUCCAGGUGUAGCGGUGAAAUGCGUAGAGAUCUGGAGGAACACCGAUGGCGAAGGCAGCCUUCUGGGCCAACACUGACACUCAUGCACGAAAGCGUGGGGAGCAAACAGGAUUAGAUACCCUGGUAGUCCACGCCCUAAACGAUGAUGACUAGUUGUUGGAGGAGUUAAAUCCUUUAGUAACGCAGCUAACGCGUGAAGUCAUCCGCCUGGGGAGUACGGUCGCAAGAUUA